rnacentral:rRNA from 1 species
AGGUUUGGAACCUCGAUGUCGGCUCAUCACAUCCUGGGGCUGUAGUAGGUCCCAAGGGUUGGGCUGUUCGCCCAUUAAAGGGGUACGCGAGCUGGGUUCAGAACGUCGUGAGACAGUUCGGUCCCUAGCCGUCGCAGGCGUAGGAAAUUUGAGAAGACCUGUCCUUAGUACGAGAGGACCGGGAUGGACGUACCUCUGGUGUACCAGU